GCCCGCGCCCCCGCUGCUCCAAAGCCGAGCCCGUCCGGAAAAGCAGUCUUUUCUUCGUCUGGGAGGUUUUCUCAUCCUCAGUUCCCACCGCUGAGGCUGGUGGCUACCAACUCUAGGAGAAAGUCUCCUGGAGGAGAGGCAGGGGGGGGGCGCGGAGGACGGGAAGGCGACCCGGAGGGGUAGGAAGUAAACGCUGGACUCGACCGUCCUUCUUUUUUCGGCCUUUCAGUGCGGACCUGACGCAGCGGGGGAGCUGUCAGUCACCACCGGGAUUUAGCAUUGAUCCAGUCAGCAGCUGAGGGGCCACCUCUCACCUCCCGCGGCUACUUGUCUCUGGCUAGAAGCUGGAACAAUAGUUGGUUUUUGUUGUUCUCUUGUUUUUUGUGUGUUUUUGUUUUUGUUUUCCGUCAGAGCCAGACUGCAAUUAGCAUCUUAUUUGUUCAGGCUCGAAACAGUUUUUGUCAGGACCACUGUGCGGGCUACCGAGGUCAGGCUUCCUGCACUGCUCUCUGCACGGCGACGGGGCAAUAGUGCGGGUUCUAAACUUUUGAUUCGUUCUGCUUUCUUAAUGCAUUUAUUCCUUGUCAAGUUUCCCCUCCUCGUAGCAAGUUUGGACGUCUGAAGAAGUAUCUGAUAGGUUUCAGAAGCAGGCUGCAACUGGUCAUUCGCCUUCUAGUUUUGUCUCUACUUGUAGACGCGGCUGGUGGUUUGCAAAACAAGUGUUUGGAUAGUGUGGUGAUGUGGUGGGAGGAGACAAGAUGGACUAUGCUUUUGAGCCGCGAGCCUUCCUAAGGGGGGUCACAAUCAAGAAUAACAAGUGGAACUAUGUGAGGAGAAGCUGGCCUCCAGGCCCCGACAACACCAUCCAAGGCAGCCCAAGAAGACAUCAUAUUGUUUCCUGCCUGCAUGGAGUUCCAUGGGAAAGCUUUGCUGUCGUUGACUCAACAAUAAAAAGGAAGACAGUGUGCACCCUGGGCUCUGUGUCCUGAGAUGAUUAUUACCAGAUUUUACUACUUACUUCACAUGUGUCCCUAUGUUUAUCUUUCUAUAUAUUUCACAUUAUAUAUGUAUGUCUGUUAUACAUGCAUAUGUUUUUAUAUGCAUAUGUUAUUCCCUAGUCUAUCUGUACAAAUAUGUAUAUUUGGUAUAUACACAUGUGUCUCACUUUGGCAUGUUUGGAA